GAGAUGGGAAACCCCAGCGCCGUGCCCGCCAGCCACUGCCUCCGAGACUCCGGGGACGUCGUGAAGGAAAUGUCCACUGAACUCCGUUCCUGAAGCUAUUUCCUAGUCACUCCCACAAAACGCCAUGCUUUACUCCGCCACUUUUCAGGGCUUUAUCAGAACCACCGCUUCUGCUUCAACGGCCAUGGCCCUCAGGGGUCCCCUUUUCCUCUUACCCCACAGAGCUCGAAGGCUCUCCCUUCUCUCCUUUUCCUUGAGAAUUCCUGCACUUAGCUUGAGACAUUUUCAUGUGGCCCAAAAGAUAAGGUCUCCAAUAGGGGCUUUAGGCUCCGUUGCGCCUUCCAGGACGACUGAGGUGGAUUGGAAGGAGAGUCAAGGUGUGGGCUUUAGGCGGAGGAGCAUUGCUUUGCCGUUUUGGCAUCAGCAGAGCUCCAGCUAUGGUCGUUUUGCUUACCAGGAUGUGUCUAGUGAUGAUCCUGAUAUGGAGUUGGGGUCUCCUCAGCAACAAAUGGGCGGCUCAUCCCUUGAUAACAUUGAUGAGUGGAGAUGGAAGCUGACCAUGCUUCUUCGCAACAAGGAUGAGCGAGAAGUGAUUUCAAGGGAGAAAAAGGAUAGACGUGAUUUUGAGCAUCUCUCAGCUUUAGCAACUAGGAUGGGUUUAUAUAGCCAACAAUAUGCAAAAGUAGUUGUCUUUAGCAAGGAACCUCUGCCAAAUUACAGACCUGAUCUGGAUGAUAAGCGUCCACAGAGGGAGGUUGUCAUACCUUUUCGUGUCCAUAAAGAAGCAGAUUCUCUUCUCAAUGCUUAUGUUUCUAAAAAGUCUACAAGCUUUGGAGGCUUUUUUGAUGCAUCCUUGCAUAGAUCAAGCAGUGCUGGCAUUCCUGCAGAUGAAGGAAUUCUCAAGGAGCCAGAGCCCUUGGCACAGAAUAGUGUUGUCAGGGAGAAAAUCUUUCUACGAAAAAGUUUGCAACUGCGUAAUCAACAAGAAGAUUGGCAGGAGUCUCCUGAAGGACAAAAGAUGCUUGGAUUUCGUAGAACUCUUCCUGCAUUCAAAGCAAAGGAUGAAUUAUUGAAAGCCAUUUCAGAGAACCAGGUUGUUGUGGUCUCAGGUGAAACUGGUUGUGGUAAGACCACACAACUUCCACAAUAUAUAUUAGAGUCUGAGAUUGAAGCUGCACGUGGUGCUGCCUGUAGCAUAAUUUGUACUCAGCCUAGAAGAAUAUCUGCAAUGUCUGUUUCUGAAAGAGUUGCAGCAGAGCGUGGGGAAAAAUUGGGAGAAUCUGUUGGUUACAAGGUUCGGCUGGAGGGUAUGAAAGGAAGGGAUACUCGUCUUCUUUUUUGCACUACAGGUGUAUUGUUGAGGAGACUGCUUGUGGACCGAAAUCUAAAAGGUGUGACUCAUGUUGUUGUUGAUGAGAUUCAUGAGCGUGGAAUGAAUGAAGAUUUUCUCCUUGUUGUGCUGAAGGAUCUUCUCCCACGCCGUCCAGACCUUAGGUUAAUUUUGAUGAGUGCAACCUUAAACGCCGAGCUUUUUUCUUCCUACUUUGGUGGGGCUCCAACUUUACAUAUACCUGGUUUUACGUAUCCAGUUCAAGCACAUUUUCUUGAGGAUAUUCUGGAGAUGACUCAAUAUCGGUUGACACCUUAUAAUCAAAUUGAUGAUUAUGGUCAAGAGAAGACAUGGAAAAUGCAGAAACAGGUUCAAGCUUUGAAAAAAAGGAAGACACAGAUUGCUUCUGUCGUUGAGGAUGCACUUGAAGCUGCUGAUUUCAAGGAAUACAGCUUACGCACCCAGGAGUCACUAUCCUAUUGGAGUCCUGAUUCAAUUGGUUUUAACCUUAUUGAACAUGUUCUUUGCCACAUUGUCAAGAAUGAAAAGCCAGGUGCUAUUUUGGUUUUUAUGACUGGUUGGGAUGACAUAAAUUGUUUGAAGGAUCAGCUCCAAGCUCAUCCUCUUUUGGGUGACCCAAGCAAAGUAUUGCUUCUUGCAUGCCACGGCUCCAUGGCCAGCUCUGAGCAGAGGUUGAUAUUUGAAAAUCCUGAAGGAGGAGUGAGGAAAAUAGUUCUUGCCACCAAUAUGGCUGAGACUAGUAUUACCAUAAAUGAUGUUGUCUUUGUGAUUGAUUGUGGGAAAGCAAAAGAGACAUCUUAUGAUGCACUAAACAAUACUCCUUGUUUACUUCCAUCUUGGAUCUCAAAGGCUGCUGCUCGGCAGAGAAGAGGAAGGGCAGGUCGUGUUCAACCAGGCGAAUGUUACCAUCUUUAUCCGAGAUGCGUUUAUGAUACUUUUGCUGAUUAUCAAUUGCCAGAGCUUUUAAGAACACCUUUACAGUCCCUAUGUCUUCAAAUCAAAAGUCUAAACCUUGGAAGCAUUUCAGAAUUCCUAUCCAGAGCUCUGCAACCACCAGAACCUCUGUCGGUUCAAAACGCUGUUGAAUAUUUGAAGACUAUUGGGGCCUUGGACGAAGAUGAAAAUCUGACAGUUUUAGGUCGUAACUUGUCAAUGCUCCCUGUAGAGCCUAAACUUGGCAAGAUGCUUAUCUUAGGAGCUAUCUUCAACUGUUUAGAUCCCAUAAUGACUGUUGCUGCUGGUCUUAGUGUAAGGGAUCCAUUUAUGACGCCAUUUGACAAGAAGGACCUUGCAGAGUCUGCCAAGGCCCAGUUUGCUGCUGGUGCCUAUAGUGAUCAUCUUGCACUUGUUCGGGCUUAUGAGGGUUGGAGCAAUGCAGAAGCACAGAAAGAAGGUUAUGAGUACUGUUGGAGAAAUUUCCUUUCUUCACAAACACUUAGAGCUAUUGACUCUCUUCGAAAGCAAUUUUUUUACUUGCUCAAAGAUAUAGGUUUGGUUGAUCAUAAUACUGACUAUUGCAAUGCAUGGAGUCAUGAUGAGCAUCUGGUCCGAGCGGUAAUUUCAGCUGGUUUGUUUCCUGGAGUAUGCUCUGUUGUGAACAAAGAGAAGUCAAUAGCAUUGAAAACAAUGGAGGACGGUCAAGUUCUUCUGUAUGCAAACUCUGUAAAUGGCGCUGUACCCAAAAUUCCUUUCCCGUGGCUGGUAUUCAAUGAAAAGGUGAAGGUGAAUUCAGUAUUCAUCCGGGAUUCAACCGGUAUAUCUGAUUCAAUGCUGCUCUUAUUUGGUGGGAAUGUUUCCAGAGGUGGACUGGAUGGUCACCUGAAAAUGCUGGGGGGGUAUUUGGAAUUUUUCAUGAAUCCUGCAUUAGCUGAGACUUACUUGAGCCUGAAGAAGGAGCUGGAGGAAUUAAUACAUAGAAAACUUCUGGAUCCCAAGUUGGAUAUACAAUCAUGUGAUGGGCUUCUUUCAGCUGUCAGAUUGCUGGUAUCGGAGGACCAGUGUAGUGGAAAAUUCGUCUUUGGUAGUCGGGUGCUAUCACCAUCAAAUAAGGCAAAAGAUUCGAAAAGUGUUUCUAUCGAGUGCAGUAACUAUAAAAACCAGCUGCAAACGUUGCUUGCCAGGGCUAGACAUGAACCACCAACUUACAAAACAAAACAACUUGAAAACAACCGGUUCUGCUCUACUGUCAUAUUCAAUGGCUUGAAUUUUGUUGGCCAGCCUUGCAGCAGCAAGAAGCAAGCAGAGCAGGACGCUGCUUCGGAGGCUCUUCUGUGGUUAAAAGGGAAUACACAUUCAUCUAGCGAUGAUAUUGACCAGCUUCAAUCAUUGCUUGGCAGGGAUCGGCAUAAACCAUCAAAUAAGGCAAAAUGCUCCAAAAGCAGUUCUAUUGAGAGCGGUGAUUGUAAAGACCAGCUGCAAACAUUGCUUGUCAGGGCUGGACAUGAACCACCAACUUACAAAACAAAACAACUGGGAAAUCAGUUCCGCUCUACUGUCAUAUUCAAUGGCUUGAAUUUUGUUGGUCACCCUUGCAACAGCAGGAAACAAGCAGAAAAGGAUGCUGCUGCUGAGGCUCUUUUAUGGUUAAAGGGUGAUCCGCAUUCUAAUCAUAAUGAUGAUGAUCGUAUGGCUUUGCCUUUCAAAAAGGGAAAUAAAAGAAGCAAAUUUUUCUGAAUGGUUCUAGAAGAAGAUGAUGGACCUUCACUUGAUGAGAUCAAGGUCUUGAUUAGAUAACAAGUAUAGCGUUGUAAUUUACAGAGGAAGAACUUGUCUAUGGUGAAGGCUAUCUAUGAUGCACUGGAUGCAAUGUAGUUUGUUUCCAGUGGAUGUCCAAAAAGAGUGUACAGAGCUAUUGAGGAACAAUACUUCGACAGCUACAUCUUUAGCCCUUAUUUUUGUAAAGGGUGAUUGCAUCCAGAAUCUUCCUGGAUUUUAGGCACUUAUCAAUAUUUAUAGAAUUAUUUUGGCCUGAUUUAGGCUGAGGGGUUCGCUGGUUGAGCAACUGCUGCGUGAGGUGUCUUCUGUACUUUUGUGCAUAAUUUCUUGCCAGAAAGGGGAGUAAGCGGCAAUUAUACCAAGAUAUGCUUUUCAGGCUACAGUCCAUGGGAUGUUUGGGAAACAUGUCAUGUAAGCCUUGGGUAUCAGGCCUGCUAAUUAUUGAUUAAAUUAAUAUAAUGUAUAUUAGUAUUAGGACUUAGAAGGGGUGAUGCUCUUGCACGAAGCUGAGAUUGUAAGCCGACUGUGGAAGGCGAUGAUAUGAUGGAAUGAUAGAGAAAGGUAAUCUUUGAAGCCAAUAAACUGAAUGUGGCUCAGUGGAUCUGAAUUGCGAUGACCUGAUUGGGUGUAAUUACAUGUGGAAUCCAAUAUCCAGAAGACUUAUUUAGUGUUUUUGUUUUA